AUUUUUUCUCACUCUCUUCAUAUUCUGAGUAAAUUUUUUUUCUAAAUAUAAACGUAUAAAUAGGUAUAGAAUAACAUUGGAUGUAGAAGAUAGAACUACAGUCAGCACAUUCGUUGUCUUUGGAAAGGAAGCAGAAAAUUUAAUCAAAGUUUCAGCCCAGGAGGUAUCAAGGACAAUAGAAUAUAACAAUGAAAGGGAGAUAUUCCCAGAGAUUAUCAAAUCAAUUAUUGGGAAGACUAUAAAAGUUCAGGUUAAGCUAACAAAGUAUAACUUCGAAGAAGGUAAGCAAUUGUUUUGUUUGAUUAAUGAUCUAAUACGUUUAUCUAAUAUAUAGCAAUAAUAUCCUACAAAUUUAAAGAUGGCUUUACAUUUGUUUUUCAUAGUUUUAUUUUUAUACUGAUGAAACAGGCAAUGAGAGCUUCACUGUUACAAAACUUAUCGAAGCUAUUGAAGGUGAUUCACAGGAAUCCCAAGAAGUUGAAGUUGUUGAUCUACAUGAAGACGCUCUCCUACAAACACCUAAACAUAUUUCAAAAGAUAAAACUGUGUUCACACCCUUGACUAACACACCACUCAAGCCAAAGAUAGAAAAGAUUUUCAAAAGUUCACCUUUAAGGAUAAAAGAUCUUGGAGAAGACGAGAACAUUCAAAGGAAUUCUACUAUCAAAGAAACUGAAGGUUAAGUUGAUUAGCAAUCAUUUGUUACAUGUUCUAACCACUAUAUGAAUACAAUAUCAUAAAUAGCUCAUUAUCUAUUUUGUGUUGUUGCAGAUCUCAAAAGAAAAAGAACUUCCAAUGAGUGUGGCAAGGAGAAAUGGAUCUGAAUUUUUAUUGGAGUUGCUACGAAGUUUUUGUGCACAAACCUGAUGAUUUUUUUUGGUCUUCAGAUCCAGUUCAGAAAAGCUUAAUACCUUAGUGACUUUCUAUAUGAUAUUUGCUUUGAAACACUCAGUGUGGUUAUAUGUAUUAGUCUAACUUUAAGGUUAUUUUGGAGUAAGUACUUUACUAUGUUUAAGAUCUCACAUGCAUGAAUGAAUGGUAGUUGAAUAUUGAGCAUGGUCCUGUGUUU